rnacentral:rRNA from 1 species
GAUGAACGCUGGCGGCGUGCUUAACACAUGCAAGUCGAACGAGAAGUGAAGACGGAAACCUUCGGGCGGAAGGCUUUAUUUCGAGUGGCGGACGGGUGAGUAACGCGUGGGUAACCUGCCUCAUACAGGGGGAUAACAGUUGGAAACGACUGUUAAUACCGCAUAAGACCACAGCACCGCAUGGUGCGGGGGUAAAAACUCCGGUGGUAUGAGAUGGACCCGCGUUCGAUUAGCCAGUUGGCGGGGUAACGGCCCACCAAAGCGACGAGCGAUAGCCGAGCUGAGAGGAUGACCGGCCACAUUGGGACUGAGACACGGCCCAAACUCCUACGGGAAGCAGCAGUGGGGGAUAUUGCACAAUGGGGGAAACCCUGAUGCAGCGACGCCGCGUGAGUGAAGAAGUAUUUCGGUAUGUAAAGCUCUAUCAGCAGGGAAGAAAAUGACGGUACCUGAGUAAGAAGCCCCGGCUAACUACGUG